rnacentral:rRNA from 1 species
GUCCACGCCGUAAACGAUGAUGACUAGCUGUCGGGGCGCUUAGCGUUUCGGUGGCGCAGCUAACGCGUUAAGUCAUCCGCCUGGGGAGUACGGCCGCAAGGUUAAAACUCAAAGAAAUUGACGGGGGCCUGCACAAGCGGUGGAGCAUGUGGUUUAAUUCGAAGCAACGCGCAGAACCUUACCAGCGUUUGACAUGGUAGGACGGUUUCCAGAGAUGGAUUCUUUCCCUUACGGGACCUACACACAGGUGCUGCAUGGCUGUCGU